rnacentral:rRNA from 1 species
UACGAAGGGGGGCUAGCGUUGCUCGGAAUCACUGGGCGUAAAGGGUGCGUAGGCGGGUCUUUUAAGUCAGGGGGUGAAAUCCUGGAGCUCAACUCCAGAACUGCCUUUGAUACUGGCGACCUUGAGUCCGGGAGAGGUGAGUGGAACUGCGAGUGUAGAGGUGAAAUUCGUAGAUAUUCGCAAGAACACCAGUGGCGAAGGCGGCUCACUGGCCCGGUACUGACGCUGAGGUGCGAAAGCGUGGGGGAGCAAACAGG